GGCUGUUUUUAUACGCCCGUAUAAAUACGGGACGUAUUAUGUGAAACCCCGCGGCGGGCGGCGGGCGGCGGGCGGAAGGCAUCACUUUGUCCGGACUCUAAUUCAAAUUGUAUUCAUCCGAUCUUCACCAAACUUGGUCAGCAGUUGCAUCUAGUUGAUAUCUAGGCCAAGUUCGAAUAUGGGUCAUGCCGGGUCAAAAACUAGGUCAUAGGGUCAAUUAGUGCAUUUUCAACGGCGCCACUUUGUCCGGACUCUAAUUCAAAUUGUAUUCAUCCGAUC